GCGAGUGUAUUUGAGCCUGUCAUGAUACAAGAAUUUUAAAACAUCGAUAAGAUAUUAAUAACAAGACAAUAUAUUGGUAACUUAAUUUUUUUUUUAAAAGUCUAAAAUGUAGAGAAUACAUUUCAGUACCCAAACGUUGUCAAUGUAUUUGUACAAUUGAGACAAUGUGCAGGCUGUUGCUUGCAUUUUUAUUUUAUUUUAUAAACUUUAUUAAGCCCUGAGGGGAAAUUUUGGUUUACACUCUGUUUUUGAGAGAAAUGCUUCACACACAAAGACCUGAAAUACACACACACACACGUGCACAAACAGGACCUGUGGACCUGCAGAGAUGUCAGAGUGAGGCUGCUACACAGGGAGCACUCACCAGGAGGGUUCGGUGCCUUGCCCAUGGGGACCUCGGCAGAACACAGGAAGUGACCUGGCACCUCUCCAGCUAACAGACCAACUUCCAGACUUGAACCCUCAGCUUCCCAAACCGAGUCCUCGCAGACUAAGCCACUGCUGCAUCAUUGUGAUGUUGGAUUCAUUCCUCCCCUAAACAGCCAUCUAAUGAAAUAUAUGAAGUUGUUUUUUUUUUUACUUCAGCCCUGUGUUCUCUAAUAUAACGGAGUAGACAUUGUUUAAAAAUAUGUGGUCUUGAUGUAUUGACAACAGGUUUACGAGUCUGCUGUUUGGCUCCCACUUGUGAUUAUUAAUAAAUUAUUUUCAGAGCUGAACCUAAACCCACAAAACCCUCAGUGUCCUCGUUAUAGCUGUCGACAGCUGAAAGUACGCUGAGGCACAAAUAUUCUACUAAGACUUCAACAGGUUGACUUUAGUGUUAAUUUACUUUAGUUAAUAUUUAAGACUUCAGCACACUACCAGGAGUCAAUUCAAUAGUUUACAGUUGAUUUGUUGUGACUUUAGUUCAGAUUAUUCAGAAUGUGUUCAGAAAUAAACUUCUUGCUUUGCUCCAUGAUUAUGUGAUUCAUAUGUCACAUAAUAACUUUCCUGUUUUUAACACUAUUUCUGUUCAACAAGAUUCAUUUCUAUUUAAAAUGCUCUUUUGGAUAUUUCAUUACCUUAUUUGUCUGUUAUAACUUUUUAGUUUUAGACUUAAAUUUUAACCUCUCAAAUAACAAAGCAGUCUCAAAUCUUUUUGAGGAAUUAAAGCUAAAAAAUGAAUUCUACUUUGCAUACAGUACAUCCUCUGAUAAAUAAAGUGAAGUACUUUGAUUCCGUUUCUGUGGUGUUCCUGUAGGUGACCAUGAAGCAGCCAGACUGAAGCAGCAGGUUGUGAAGGUGGGCGCCAUCAUCUUGUCUUUGCAGCGCUGAUUCUGAAGAGACGUCUUCACAUAGGACUCAAAGGAAAUCAAUGCUCAAAGGAAACAGCAGUCCAGAGUCUGAUUCCAGCUCCGACGUGAAGAGAGAGGACACUUGGCUUCCAUGUACGAGACACACAAGAAUCACUCUAUCAGAAGAUGCCCUCAGAUUCAGAUCAAUCAGCAACACCUGACAACAUGGAGGACUCGUCCCCUGAGCGUUUCCUGUCCUCUCUCGAUGGAGUUCUUCUCUUCAGUUAUUAACUCUUGAAAACAGCAGCACAACAUGCCAGACUGUUUGACAAGUCUGUGAUUGAAUAAAUGGAAAUGGAAUCUCA